rnacentral:rRNA from 1 species
CCUACGGGAGGCAGCAGUGAGGAAUAUUGGGCAAUGGAGGCAACUCUGACCCAGCCAUGCCGCGUGCAGGAAGACUGCCCUAUGGGUUGUAAACUGCUUUUAUACAGGAAGAAACACCGCUACGUGUAGCGGCUUGACGGUACUGUAAGAAUAAGGAUCGGCUAACUCCGUGCCAGCAGCCGCGGUAAUACGGAGGAUCCAAGCGUUAUCCGGAAUCAUUGGGUUUAAAGGGUCCGUAGGUGGAUAAAUAAGUCAGAGGUGAAAUCCUGCAGCUCAACUGUAGAACUGCCUUUGAUACUGUUUAUCUUGAGUCAUUAUGAAGUAGUUAGAAUGAGUAGUGUAGCGGUGAAAUGCAUAGAUAUUACUCAGAAUACCGAUUGCGAAGGCAGAUUACUAAUAAUGUACUGACACUGAGGGACGAAAGCGUGGGGAGCGAACAGGAUUAGAUAACCUGGUAGUCCACGCCGUAAACGAUGGUCACUAGCUGUGUGGAUUUCGGUCUGCGUGGCUAAGCGAAAGUGAUAAGUGACCCACCUGGGGAGUACGUUCGCAAGAAUGAAACUCAAAGGAAUUGACGG